rnacentral:rRNA from 1 species
CCUACGGGAGGCAGCAGUGGGGAAUAUUGCACAAUGGAGGAAACUCUGAUGCAGCCAUGCCGCGUGUGUGAAGAAGGCCUUCGGGUUGUAAAGCACUUUCAGUUGUGAGGAAAAGUUAGUAGCUAAUACCUGCUAGCCGUGACGUUAACAACAGAAGAAGCACCGGCUAACUCCGUGCCAGCAGCCGCGGUAAU